CUGUUAUAACACUGCCUUGUCGAGGCAGAGUUGUGGGUUAAACCCCCGCGUGUCUUG
rnacentral:tRNA from 1 species